rnacentral:rRNA from 1 species
CAGCCGCCGCGGUAAAACGAAGGGUGCAAGCGUUAAUCGGAAUUACUGGGCGUAAAGCGUGCGUAGGCGGUUUGUUAAGUCUGCUGUGAAAUCCCCGGGCUCAACCUGGGAAUGGCAGUGGAUACUGGCAAGCUAGAGUGUGUCAGAGGAUGGUGGAAUUCCCGGUGUAGCGGUGAAAUGCGUAGAGAUCGGGAGGAACAUCAGUGGCGAAGGCGGCCAUCUGGGACAACACUGACGCUGAGGUACGAAAGCGUGGGGAGCAAACAGGAUUAGAUACCCCAGUAGUCCCUGUCUCUUAUAC